CCUGCAAGAGCGUUGCAUCAUUGGGAUUUUACUUGAUAUCCAGUUUCUCAAUUGGCUAAAUCAUAUCUGGAUUCUAUACGUGACCAGCCCAUGCUUUGUGUCAGUGCAGUUAAUCCCUUCCUGUUUUCAAAGGUUCCAGCUUUGAACCAUGUUACGGGCAUCAG